AAUCUCCUUUUCUACAAGCUUCUGCCUGUAACUUGUCAUCACUGCUGGAGUGUGUCAGGAUAGUGUCCUAGGGCCAACAUCUUCAUUCAGCUGCUUCAUCAAUUACUUGCCCUGAGAUACUGAAGCAAUCAGCAAGACCUGAACAACAUCCAGUGUUGGACUAAUAGCGCCCAAGGCAGGUCCUGUCAGUGCAGUGAUCACAGAGAGAGUUGAUGCGUCUGCGUCUGGGACUUGGUGAAGCGAAUACAUAUCCUGAACAUAUAACGCUGAUGCCUUUUGACAGACGGCUCAACAGCUCAAUGACAUCACCGAGUGCAAGAAGCGUGGUAUAAAAAGCUCUUUACAGCUAGUCAUCAUAAGCAUCCAGUCAGAUCGGAGGCUGUGCUACACUCUACUCCAUCAGGCAGGACCAGUCAUCUUACUGGGAUGUAACUGCACUGCCAAUAGCGUGGAGUCUUCCUCUCAUACUAGGAAUAUUUGAAUUGCACGCUGCUUUUGUUAUAACCAAGUGCCAUUCUUAUGUUGCCUUCGGACAUGAUACUUCGACUGAACAGAUUAACUCCCAAUUAUUUCCGGCUAUUACAGAUGCAACUUGCGGGUGAGGCCACAGUUCAGAGUACUGACCGACUCAUUAACUUCUCUGCACUGCUCCUUGCUGUAGGAGGUAUCGGUUUAUCCUCCUUUGGCACCAGAAGAAUGACUGAAGCAGCUGAAACCAUGGCAAUGUUUGGAACAGAAGCAUCAGAGCAGAGGAAUGAACUGCCCCAAAGUGAAUAAUGGACAAAUAGGAAAUGGAAACCCCAUGAACCAGACUAAGUGUGUGAUUCCAUGUGGCUUCUUUCCAGACUCUCAUCUGGAAAAUCAGAAUAUGAUUCCCAAAAUAUAAAGUGGUCCCCUCUCUGCAUUCUAUCUGAAUAGACAAGCUACAUUAAGAGGAGUUAAAAUGAAUGGUUAAUGUAACGAUGCUUCCCCUCCUUCUGAAGGGAGUCAAUGGGAUAGUGAAAAUUUUUGCUACUGCUUCAAACAAUCAGUUUGUGUAUUACUAUUUUUUUUCAGAGAGAAUGUUGACUGAAGUUCAGUACAAGGUUUUAACAUAGUCAAGCAGCAAUCAAGUUACACAUGGAAUAUCUUAGCAAAGUUUAUACAGAUAGCAAAUAUGAUCAUUGCAAGUUUAAGUAUUCAGAGUCAAGCGUCACCCAAGCUCAUGUGGCCUGUAUACUCCAUCAGUUGUAAUACCAGAUCUUUUUAUCUCUGUGAUCCACCUGAUUGCUGGGUUCAAGCUCUGGGUUGCUGGGAAAGGAGGGUUUGUAGUUUGAACUCAUCUCUGUAAAGCACCAUAUCCCCAAUCAGCAUAUUUUCAAUAUUUAGGAAUAGCUUAGAAAUUAAAGGUUGAUGUGUUGUAUCAUUGGUGUUGCUGGCCCUUCUGGAACAUUUCGUGUCUCCAAGAUUUAAAGGUAGUCUCCUGGAUUCUGUGGUGGAUAAAUUUGGUGAUAAUCUGAGGGGUAUUAAUUUUCUUUGAACAUCUCUUUAUUGGGUACAAGAAUUCCGAGAUGGAGGAAAUGAUAUUUGUUUGGAUGGGGCACUUGGAGGAGGGAGAUCAUGUGGUGAAACCUCCAGGUACAUAUCCACUCAGAGGUGGCAACCCUAAUCAUCAGACAAACUGAACUAUUUAAAACUAGCUGUCAGACUAGGUCAGAAUGAAAAAUCCUGUCAAAUGGCCCUAUGACAAAUAAAUGUGCCCUGGCUUAUGUCAUAAUGUAUUUUGUAUUUGUUUGCCUUACAUUUGGGAAAGACUGCAAGCAGUUUAUUUAAGGAUCCUGUAACAAAUGUGUAAUUAAUAGAUAGUAUAUGUAUAAUUAAUAGAUAAUAAGCACAGCAUCCCAAGGAGCUGCUGUAACAUUAACUGUGUAUGUCUGCAAAAUUGGAAGUUGUGACUGCUGUAGCCCUAAUCUCUGCCAGUGAGUGGUGCUAGUGAGCACAUACAUCAGUGACCCCUAUUGACGAAUUGAGGGAGUUCACUAGUGUCCCUUCCUGACAGAUCGGGGUUGGAGGCAAUGGGACGGACAAUAUGAGCUUUUUUCUUGUCUGGGUUAAAUUUCAUUUAAGAAUUGCUCUCAGUUGUGAGGCAAAUACAUUUUCUCUCAACCUUGCUAUGCAAAUAAGCUUUUUAACAUGGUGCUUUUAUAUCAGAAUGAAAUGCCUCAAUACUCGACUAAAAUUGGCUUGUGCCUGGAAUUUUGGGAUGAAAUAAGUAAUUCAAUCAUUUAAUUACCUCCCAGCUCAUUCAACUGCAUUGCUCCAGGCUAUCCAAGUCUGAAGAUGCACAGAAAAUCAGUCUUGUUAAUGCCAGAAUUUUCACACUUCAAUUGAAGAAUGAACAUAACAAAUCUGAACUCAUUAAAUUAAUUGACACUGGGAUUAGGAGUUUUUGUAAAUACCAUAAGCCACACCCGAUACCUCAUAGUCACUGUUGUGUUAUUUAUUUGCUUUGACGGGUUCUCAGGGUCAAUAUCUACAUGAACUCAUGGGCAACUGUUUGGAAAACUGCCAACAACACUAAAAUGCAAGUUACAUAACAGCUGAUGUUAUUGCCAUUAUAGAUUUGUAUUUAUACCAGUACAGGCCUGUGGCUCAAGAGCUGCCCUACAUACGCUUCAGAGAACAUUGUAUUUCAAACCAACCAAAACAGAUGUGACAAUCGGAAUGUCCCUAAGGCAGAAUGCUUAUCAAACAUGCUGCACUUCACUCAACAGGACUGGAGUUCAGGUUUUCUCAGUUGGGGCUCACGUGCAAAUCUGAAUGCUGCUUCCCUAGGUUAGGAACUCCGACUUAUUGUCUGUAUUACCAAUAAAUUUCUCACCACCUCGGAAAAACUGGGCUGCUGAAACAGAAAUUGUGUCUGUAUUGUUUCAG